GCGAAGAACCUUACCAGGUCUUGACAUCCUUUGACCACUCUAGAGAUAGAGCUUUCCCUUCGGGGACAAAGUGACAGGUGGUGCAUGGUUGUCGUCAGCUCGUGUCGUGAGAUGUUGGGUUAAGUCCCGCAACGAGCGCAACCCUUAUUGUUAGUUGCCAUCAUUCAGUUGGGCACUCUAGCGAGACUGCCGGUGACAAACCGGAGGAAGGUGGGGAUGACGUCAAAUCAUCAUGCCCCUUAUGACCUGGGCUACACACGUGCUACAAUGGACGGUACAAUGAGUCGCAAGACCGCGAGGUUUAGCUAAUCUCUUAAAGCCGUUCUCAGUUCGGAUUGUAGGCUGCAACUCGCCUACAUGAAGCCGGAAUCGCUAGUAAUCGUGGAUCAGCACGCCACGGUGAAUACGUUCCCGGGCCUUGUACACACCGCCCGUCACACCACGAGAGUUUGUAACACCCAAAGUCGGUGAGGUAACCUUUUGGAGCCAGCCGCCUAAGGUGGGAUAGAU
rnacentral:rRNA from 1 species